AAUAUAUGAUCGAAAAUUUAUCACAAUUCAAUAUUCAAUGUCAAGCCAGAGAGUUAUUAGUUAUUACAUUUAAAAUGAAAAUCGCAUAUGGUGUUCUGUUUGUUUUUUUAUUAUUAAUAGUAAGAUUCGAAGCUUUUAUCAUAAACGGUGAAAAAACACGUAAUUUAACACCAAAUAAAAAUACAGGAAAUAUUUUUCGUUUUAGAAGAAGUUUAAUGUGCGACGUCCAAUUAUGCAGACUGUAUUGUAAACUAAAAAACCAAUAUUUGUCCGGUGUUUGUAAUAAUGAAGGCAAAUGCGAAUGUGUUUAAUUAACUAUUUAUUUUCAUGUCCAAUUAAUUAAAAUCUCGAUUAAUUCAAAGUUCAAGAUCAAUGUUAUUACAUCAUGUAUUGCAAUCUGUGAUGAAUAAAUAAAUCUUUCGCGUAAUUUGGUUACGCUUUGUGAUUUUAAUUAUUACUGCAACGAAUCGAUUUGUAAAUCCCAAAAUAAAAGUAAAACUGAGAAAAUCCCAGUUGUGAGUAAAAACACAUUUUUCUGUGUAUAAAUAUGUAUCUGUAAACUAAAACGAGGAUUUGUCAGUAGAGCCUUAUCCACCAUGAGGUCUAAUUCUAUACCAGUUUAUUUACUCUUAUUUUUUGUUUGUGUUUUAAUGAGUGAAGGACUUCCUGUAACAAACAAAAUAAUAGAUUCUGCUUUCCGAUGUCCACAAAUGAUCAGGUGCCUCAGUUUAUGCAAAAAAAGAAAAACGAAUGUAAUUCAGGUGAAAUGUGGUUGUGGGUGUAACUACGUGGACAAACAUCCACAUCUGCCCGUUUGAUACUUUUGCAAAUUUUUGAUUUUAUUCAAGACUUUUAUUUUUGUAUCUUUGUAAUAAACUUUUUAUAAUUA